UACGGAGGGGGCUAGCGUUGUCCGAAGUUACUGGGCGUAAAGCGCGCGUAGGCGGGUUGGUAAGUCCGCUGUGAAAGCCCGGAGCUCAACUCCGGAGGGUCGGUGGAUACUGCCAGUCUUGAAGGUGCUAGGGGGAGAUGGAAUUACCGGUGUAGCGGUGAAAUGCGUAGAUAUCGGUAGGAACACCAGUGGCGAAGGCGGUCUCCUGGGGCAUUCUUGACGCUGAGGCGCGAAAGCAUGGGGAGCGAACAGG
rnacentral:rRNA from 1 species